UCCUCAUUGCCCAAGUAGCUCAGUUGGUUAGAGCAUGGCGCUGAUAAUGCCAAGGUUGCAGGUUCGAUCCCCGUAUGGGAGAG